GGUGCGUUAGGGAAGUGGUUUAUCCCGCUUCAUUCGGGUUGGAGAUGUCAUCGGUUCGAAUCCGAUACGCACCC